UUCUACAUCAGGGCUGCUGGUUCAGUCCUACGAGGGCUGCAGUCCUGCAGGUUUUCAGUGUUUCCUGCUCCAACACACCAGACUACUGACAUGGAUCCAACACAACAACUCAGUCAGGUGUCUUUUCAUUUGGAGUCU